UACGUAGGGUCCAAGCGUUAUCCGGAAUCACUGGGCGUAAAGGGUGCGUAGGCGGGUCUUAAGUCAGGGGUGAAAUCCUGGAGCUCAACUCCAGAACUGCCUUUGAUACUGAGGAUCUUGAGUUCGGGAGAGGUGAGUGGAACUGCGAGUGUAGAGGUGAAAUUCGUAGAUAUUCGCAAGAACACCAGUGGCGAAGGCGGCUCACUGGCCCGGUACUGACGCUGAGGUGCGAAAGCGUGGGGAGCAAACAGG
rnacentral:rRNA from 1 species